CUGGAGGAUAAGAAUGUAGGGCCAGGGAAGUCAAGAAGGCUCUACUGACACUAUCCUCCUAAAACUAAAUGGUGGGAGAACAAAGGAGCCUGUCUAUGAUCCUUUUUACAUAA
rnacentral:scRNA from 1 species